GGGGAAUUUUGGACAAUGGGGGCAACCCUGAUCCAGCCAUGCCGCGUGAGUGAAGAAGGCCUUCGGGUUGUAAAGCUCUUUCGGCCGGGAAGAAAUCGUGCAGGCUAAUACCCUGUAUGGAUGACGGUACCGGAAUAAGAAGCACCGGCUAACUACGUGCCAGCAGCCGCGGUAAUACGAAGGGGGCUAGCGUUGUUCGGAAUUACUGGGCGUAAAGCGCACGUAGGCGGACAUUUAAGUCAGAGGUGAAAUCCCAGGGCUCAACCCUGGAACUGCCUUUGAUACUGGGUGUCUUGAGUACGAGAGAGGUGAGUGGAAUUCCGAGUGUAGAGGUGAAAUUCGUAGAUAUUCGGAAGAACACCAGUGGCGAAGGCGGCUCACUGGCUCGUAACUGACGCUGAGGUGCGAAAGCGUGGGGAGCAAACA
rnacentral:rRNA from 1 species